rnacentral:rRNA from 1 species
UACGGAGGAUGCGAGCGUUAUCCGGAUUUAUUGGGUUUAAAGGGUGCGUAGGCGGAUCGUUAAGUCAGUGGUCAAAUUGAGGGGCUCAACCCCUUCCCGCCAUUGAAACUGGCGAUCUUGAGUGGAAGAGAGGUAUGCGGAAUGCGUGGUGUAGCGGUGAAAUGCAUAGAUAUCACGCAGAACUCCGAUUGCGAAGGCAGCGUACCGGCAUCCAACUGACGCUGAGGCACGAAAGCGUGGGCAUCAAACAGG